UACAGAGGGUGCGAGCGUUGUUCGGAAUUAUUGGGCGUAAAGGGCGCGUAGGCGGUGCGGUAAGUCACCUGUGAAAUCUCCUGGCUCAACUGGGAGCUUGCAGGCGAAACUGCCGUGCUGGAGUGUGGGAGAGGUGCGUGGAAUUCCUGGUGUAGCGGUGAAAUGCGUAGAUAUCAGGAGGAACACCUGUGGCGAAAGCGGCGCACUGGACCACAACUGACGCUGAGGCGCGAAGGCCAGGGGAGCAAACGGG
rnacentral:rRNA from 1 species